GGGAGACGGCGGCUGCGGGCGGGCCGGGCCUGGCCGCCGCUCGGGGAGCGACUCGCCUUAGGCUCCCGCCUUCCCGGGCCGACACUUCGACCGUCCCGGAGGGCCGAGGAAGUGAAGCAGCCGCCGCGGCGGUGCCAGGGAAAGGGCUUCUGGCAGGACCCACACUUCACAGAUGAAGGCCACAAUCACCCCCACCAGGACACAGUAUUCACCUCAGACCUCAUCUUGGAUGUGGAUUUAUCAGAAGGUAUCUCUAGUAGCAGCAAACACUGACUUCUUGUACGUGUUUACAGCACGUAGCGACUGGCCGUCGGUUCUGAACGGACAUCAAGAACGAUGCAAUGGGUGGCAGGCUCCUUGUGAAAUCAACCUUAAAUUUUGAUUGUUCAAAGUAUUUUGAAAAGAGGAGCCCCAGGGUCUCUUGCCCAGCAGGGUGUGAUAAAAGAGAUGCCAUUUGCAGUCGUUGUGCACAGCCAGAAGAAGAGAAGCCAGGGCACUGAGCCGUUCCACGCCAGGCGCUGCAGCCAUCCAGUCUCCAUCUGCCGGCACAGGCAGUAAAUUCACUUUCAGGUGCUUAUUUCUUGCAGAGAGGGGGAAAAACAAACAAAAACCAGACAAUGUACCUCGGGACAUCUCAGAGUUGCCCCAACUCUACUAACUUUUCCCUGUGUCUAAAGCUACUAACAGCUGCAGCCACCCUUAUCUAUGCACUGAAUGUGCCCCAGUUUCAGUUAUAAGAAAUACAAUUUCAGUGCAUGAGGAAUCUGGAUGACAUGUUUUUAGCAUCAUCUCCCAAACACACUCCAGCAAGGCUGUUGCCACACUUGCUGAAUAAUAUCAGGUCCUCUGGAUUCCUUUAUUCACCUUUGAAAAAGGUUUCUUUGGUACUUUAGAAGCGUAGAACACUGUGCGUGUGGCCUGUGUAGGAGAGUCAGGGUGCCGAGUGUGUGCAGCAGCCGGGGAGCUGGGCAUUGCCACUGGAAACGUGUGGGAAAAGGUUUAAACAAUUACAUAAAAUAGAACCUGAGACAGCAGAAUUGUUAUAAUAACCCUCCCAGUGGCCAAGAAGCAACCACAAAAUAAGAACUAGAGUGGUAUCUAUCAUCCUGGAAACAUAUUAAUGUACAAUGUAUUAAAAAAAGUCAUCUGGUUGAUAAAACAGCUUUUGUUUUUCUUAAAACACAGCUCACUGAAGUGAUAUUAGAAACAAUUCCACACCAGCUGGUGUGGUUUAAAAAAAUAACUUAAAGAAACAGAAGUUGGCAGAGUGACCUCCACUUUGGAUUUCUGCUCAAGUAUGAAGAUGUUUGCAACGGGGCAGAAGGGACAGAGAAGAGGAGCCAGAUGGUUUUGAGGAGGCAGGAGAUCAGUCACAGGGGCAGAAAGUCAUCACGUGAACCAAUUCUGAAAGAGCAAUUUCAAAGCAAAGUCCAUCUCCUAACAAACAAGCAGCACAAAAUGCAUCAGCUUCACAGCGCUGGCAUUUUAAUUUCAGCACUCCCAGUCAUAACAUUUGGCUUUUAAAAUCAGUCUGACAACAGAAUGCAGUAAAAAUAGUUUUGUAUAUGACAUUACAUCCAGCAUAUCGAACAGCAUUCCAGCCGCUCUAAUUAUAAAAUAUGACAACAUCGCAGCAGGGUGGAAGAAGAAUCGGGUGCUGACUUCUACUGAAUUAUCUGCGUGGAUCAUCAGGGCAGACCCGGCCCAGGCUGAGGUGACAGAGCUGCCCGUGCCGAGGGGCGGCUGUUGCCCUGAAGUGCAGGUGGAAAGGGCAACACAAAUCCAGGGCUGCAGCCCCGUUUUCCUGCUCAUCUUUUCCAGCGCCUUUCGGCACCCGGGACACCUCUCCAGCCCCAACGACCCUUCUCAAGCCACGGGCAGUUUGUUCACCUCAACCACACUGAAAAACACAAUCUUAGGUCUUUACAAGCCGCUUUCCCGACUAGCGAUGCUCCCGGUCAUUCCUCCCAGUCCUCCAGAGCCCACUGGGGCAUCUUGGAGCGAUACUCAAACUGGGCUCCCUUGUAGCGCAGGGCGUGCAGGAACAUGACCAGCUCGCGGGGGGACGGGUCCCGCCGCCGCGUUUUACACUCCACGCACAAGGGGUCCUUCUCCUCCCAACUCCUGUCUCCCGUCUGCCCCUCCUGAUUCUUGCAGGAGCCCGCUUCUUUAUUUGUUUCAAGCGUUUCCAGGCUGGGAUCAGAGCUCAGCAGACAAGCUGCUGUGUCAUUUUUCUCGGGAUCCUUCGUGUCCUCGGCAGGGCAGGAGUUCUCAUUUGUAGGAUCAACCUGCACAGACUUUGUGCCGUCGCUUGAAUUACCACAGUCGGUAUUUUCAGCGUUGGAGUUCAAAUCCUCCUCUGAAAUACCCAAGAUAUCCAAGCUCUGUUUGGAACGAUGCUCCUCGACCAGCGCCUUCAGGAGUUCUUCAUCCGUUUUAUCGAUUUUCCCACCUUUGCCCCUGCCGGGUCCCCAGGCUUCCAUGUUAUAGAUGGGGUCAUUGACAAUAGGGUGCCCCAAGUACUGCAAGUGCACCCGGAUCUGGUGCGUGCGGCCGGUGCGCGGAAGACACCUGACAACGCUGGUCUUGCCGUUGUAACUGAGUCUCUGGAAGACGGUUUUGCAGGGUUUCCCCUUGGGGUCCACGCGGCACACUCCCACUUUGUAAGAAACAACCAGGAUGGGCUCUUCGCAGACCACUUGGUGCUCCGGGAACUCCCCCAGCACGCGGCAGACGUACUCCUUCUCCAGCUGCGGAGACACACGGCGCGCUCUCAGAAAGCAACAGAAAACUCUCCUGUUUACACCCAGGUCCCAUCCCAGCUACUCCUCUCUUCCUCUUCUAUUAAAUAUAUUUAUAGACAACAUAGUGCCCAAAUCCAAAUAUUAUUACAACUGAACAGGAAAGGGAAAAAAAAUAAAACCAGCUAUUUUAAGCCAAAUUUCUCUCAUGCUCUCCCCAGCUAGCUAGGAAAGAGAGAACACGAGGGCCUGGCCAGUUUUUCUCACUAAAUUCAAGAGCCAUCUCCCAGUGGCCCUUGGUUUACAGCCUUGAAGCAAAUCCUAAAAGUGUGCACCCUACAGCUACAGCUCCAUUUGGGUCAAGAGCUGCUGGAAAGCAAGAACAACUUUUAAAGCUUUUACAACUGAAGUAUUAGAUGACUGGCGCAUUUCCACUUACAAUCAAACCCGCUCCCCAGCUGCUCUGCGUGAUCCCAGCCAGUGUGCACAGUCCUUUAAGGAAGGAGAUCCCUUUCAAUCUAAUUUUACCAAAACAAAUUUUUGUUCGGUCUUUUUCUGUUACUGCCUCUCAUGCUUAGUGCAAUCAGAACAGCAAGGCGACCACAAGCUGCUUUAGGAACUUGUGCUCCUUUAGGCCAAAAAUCUGGGUGACUUUGGGGCUAAACCAUUUCAAGAAAACCCCGUACCAGAGACCCCGAACACGACCACGGCCUUUAGCUCUCACCUGUCUCUCCCGAACCUGCUCAUCGAUCCUCUUGGACACCUCCACGGUCUUGGCAAACAUCAGGACUCCCGAGGUCAUGCGAUCGAGCCGGUGGAUGGUGUGCAGCUCCUUCAGAUCAUGCUCUUUGCCCAGGAUGAAGAUGACGGUGUUGUGACGGAACCUGCCACAGGGAUGGACUGGCAAAGAGGAGGGUUUGUCCACAACCACCACCUCAUCGUUCUCCACCAGGAUCUGGAUGGGCUGGGCGGUGACUGGUGGCUCAUGGCGAUGCACCGUGUUCCUCAGAAAAUCAUUAUUCUGCAAGGCAGACAAUUAGUGUGAAUCCAGCCUGUGCAACCGCCCCCUAAGGCCACACACAGAGGGGACUGACAUUGCAGGGGAAAACAUGAAAACCCCUUUGUCCUGGAACCCAGGAUUUAACACAACAA